GAUGAAGAACGUAGCGAAAUGCGAUAAGUAGUGUGAAUUGCAGAAUUCAGUGAAUCAUCGAAUCUUUGAACGCACAUUGCGCCCCUUGGUAUUCCAUAGGGCAUGCCUGUUCGAGCGUCAUUUGUACCUUCAAGCUCUGCUUGGUGUUGGGUGUUUGUCUCGCCUCUGCGUGUAGACUCGCCUUAAAACAAUUGGCAGCCGGCGUAUUGAUUUCGGAGCGCAGUACAUCUCGCGCUUUGCACUCAUAACGACGACGUCCAAAAGUACAUUUUUACACUCUUGACCUCGGAUCAGGUAGGGAUACCCGCUGAACUUAAGCAUAUCAAUAAGCGGAGGA
rnacentral:misc_RNA from 1 species